rnacentral:lncRNA from 1 species
UGGAGCCAGCUCUAAAGCAGCUCUGUACCACUUGGGUAGCCUCCACUGGGGACAUUUGGAACUUGGCGCUAGAGUGAAAUCUUCAGACUCUAAGUUAAAGGGGCAUAUAAAAAUGUUACUAGCAUGGGCGGCAAAAGCAGCACUACCUAUGGGAAAAGCAGCCAAUCUCUGGCAAUGAAUAAGUGUAAUUGAUCACAAAAGAUGACUUGAUGGCCCUUCCAAACGUGCUUUUAGCAAAGUGGACAGUUUUUCAUUCAAAUGCAAGCUCACCCAGAUAAAAUCUAAUAAUGGAGACUUUGGAACAAUCCCAGCGUCAGCAAUUCCUUUUUUUCCCCCACUCUCCUUCUCUGAACAGGAAGGCAUCUUAAGUUCCUGGUCACAGCUUGACCUAAUCAGAUGACAAUUUAUGCUUUCCCUAAGGCUGAGGAGACCCUGACAGUCCCUGGGGCAGCAAAAGGUGAGUUGCAGGACCGUCCACCUCCCUGUCUGUAGCCCCUUUCCCGCUCCCUGACCUGAGCUGGGUGGCUGGUAGGCUAGGGGUCGAGCCAGAGCUACAGCUACUGGUCUACACCACAGCCAUAGCAAUGCCAGAUCCGAGCGGCGUCUGCAACCUACACCACAGCUCAUGGCAAUGCCAGAUCCUUAACCCACUGAGUGAGGCCAGGGAUCAAACCUGAAACCUCAUGGUUCCGAGUCGGAUUCCUUUCCUCUGCGCCCCACAAGGCGAACUCCAAGUACUUAAUCUUUCUGAGCUUCAGUUUCCACCUUCAUCAAAUGAAAACACUGCACUAGACAAGAUCUCUGAGCACAAGGGCAGCUUGAAAACUGUGAUUCUAAACGCUCCCCUUCCCACUCAGGCUCCUAGGCUCCUAGGAAGUGACAGAUCAGGUGCCACCUUCUUUCCUCGGAAGAGAACACUCAGCAAAGGAAGAGGCUGGCGCCUGAGGUUAAACAGGACCAACCAAGUGUCUCAGGGAGGAGCGGGGAAGUGAGCAGCAGGCGAGGCCUAGGACAGGAGCGGCGGGGAUCUAGAG